GCUCUAAAAUGUGUAAGAUGUUUCCCACCUGAUGAUGAAAUGUGUCUGCCCAGUCCUGAAAACUGCAAAAAGCAAAAUGCCUGUGUCUAUUUUCUGCCAAAUCAUCAUCCUGGUUUUACUGCCUCAGAGAUGAAGCGGUGCAUUUCUAUGUCAGAGUGUCUCAAGCUUAAGCAAAAUCCUAUGUACAAAGUAAAAUGCUGUCAGACGGACUUCUGCAAUAUUAGUUUCACUUAACCAUAACCAUGCUUGAUCUUGAUCUUUUGUUCAGUAUUACUGUUGAUUUUUGUUGCUGCUGUUUUUACUUAUGUACUUGGCAACAGCAGCAGUAAAUUCAGUUCACUGUGUCUGAGCCGCUUUUAGUCAUAUCCUGUCCUGAAGAAAUGAGUCCCUAAUAAAAUCUUUUCAGCGUUGA